AAAAAUGAUGCACGUAAGUCACUUUGGAUAAAAGUGUCUGCUAAAUGGCAUUUC
rfam:Salmo salar isolate Sally breed double haploid chromosome ssa04, whole genome shotgun sequence.